rnacentral:misc_RNA from 1 species
GAAAUGCGAUAAGUAAUGUGAAUUGCAGAAUUCAGUGAAUCAUCGAAUCUUUGAACGCACAUUGCGCCCGUCAGCAUUCUGGCGGGCAUGCCUGUUCGAGCGUCAUUUCAACCCUCAGGACCCCCCUUUCGUGGGGAGGGACCUGGCGUUGGGGAUCGGCCCGCCCCCCGUGGCGGCGCCGUCCCCGAAAUCUAGUGGCGGUCUCGCUGCAGCCUCCCCUGCGUAGUAGUUACAACCUCGCAUCGGAGCGCGGCGCGGCCACGCCGUAAAACCCCCGACUUUCUGAACGUUGACCUCGGAUCAGGUAGGAAUACCCGCUGAACUUAAGC